GACGAACGCUGGCGGCGUGCCUAAUACAUGCAAGUAGAACGCUGAAGGAGGAGCUUGCUUCUCUGGAUGAGUUGCGAACGGGUGAGUAACGCGUAGGUAACCUGCCUGGUAGCGGGGGAUAACUAUUGGAAACGAUAGCUAAUACCGCAUAAGAGUAGAUGUUGCAUGACAUUUGCUUAAAAGGUGCAAUUGCAUCACUACCAGAUGGACCUGCGUUGUAUUAGCUAGUUGGUGAGGUAACGGCUCACCAAGGCGACGAUACAUAGCCGACCUGAGAGGGGGAUCGGCCACACUGGGACUGAGACACGGCCCAGACUCCUACGGGAGGCAGCAGUAGGGAAUCUUCGGCAAUGGACGGAAGUCUGACCGAGCAACGCCGCGUGAGUGAAGAAGGUUUUCGGAUCGUAAAGCUCUGUUGUAAGAGAAGAACGAGUGUGAGAGUGGAAAGUUCACACUGUGACGGUAGCUUACCAGAAAGGGACGGCUAACUACGUG
rnacentral:rRNA from 1 species